CACAAGGACUGGUGUGAAAAAGACAAUUUCAAGUCAAAUGGAGUGCGCAAUUAGGAUGAGGUUCUCCUGUGUGCUAAUAGUCUAAGGUACCAACAGAUGUAUACAUCCCCUGCGGAGAAACAACUUGCUCUGUCAGAAACCACCUCCAAGGUCUCUGAUCAAGACAAUUCAGAGGCCUCAGAGGAAGCAUCAACAGUGCAGCCUCUUGCACCCUGCCUGUUCAGGUCCUGAAACCUGGUGGGGAUAUUAUGUGUAGAAAAUUUGGAAUCUGAAGCUGGUGAGCACCACAUUGCAUCAGCUCCAAGUCAGCUGAGGAAGAAGUGUCCCAAGCCGCUGGCACUUGGAGGGUUGGUGGACACGAAGCAUCUGCGCAGCCCCUGUCAGGAGACGAAACUGUAAUGUCAUCAAUCAGGGACUUUAUCCAAAUGUGCUGGGAAAAAACAAGGGCAGCAGACAGGUACGAGAGAGGCGAUGGUCCUUUUUGCCCAGAUGUUACACAAUGUGGUCCCAGCUGCCUCAAGUGUGCAAUAGCCUGGCUGCUCCCAUGGAGAGCAGGGUUCAGUACCCUCAUCUGCGCUCCAUCACCUCAGCCAUUGGUCCUUCUUCCCACAGAGACAGGCCAUGCUAGGACAGAUCCAGCCAGAGGAGAAACCAUACACAGGCCCUAAUAUAAGUCUCCUCUCAAAGGUGGCUGGACUUUCCAUCUCUAUGCUCCCGCCCUUCUCCAAUCAUUGACAAGGAAGUUCCACUUUCCUCUGGCAAGAAGAUUCUCAGCAGAUCAGCACCAUCCAUAAUUAAAAAGGUCUGGGAUUGCCUGAUUAAACCUUCAAUGAAAUGGGCUUCACUACCAAGCAGGUUCCUUCCCUAGCUGUCUAACCUGGGACAAUACUGAGACGUAUAGGAGGGAAUGAUGGGAAAAAAAAACACUCUUGAAGUGACAGAAUACUAUAUAUAUGAAGUAUCAUGUAUGUAUAAAGGUUAUUGGUUUCACAGUACAUUUUUUGGGGGUCUUUCUCGAGCUCAGUUAACUUCAUGUCUAUACAGAAUGUCACCACAUGUUGACAGCCUACUACAGCAUGCGGAAGCAAGAUGAAUAAAAGAUAUAUUGGAUUGUA